rnacentral:rRNA from 1 species
GUGGGGAAUAUUGGACAAUGGGCGCAAGCCUGAUCCAGCCAUGCCGCGUGAGUGAUGAAGGCCCUAGGGUUGUAAAGCUCUUUCACCGGUGAAGAUAAUGACGGUAACCGGAGAAGAAGCCCCGGCUAACUUCGUGCCAGCAGCCGCGGUAAUACGAAGGGGGCUAGCGUUGUUCGGAAUUACUGGGCGUAAAGCGCACGUAGGCGGACAUUUAAGUCAAGGGUGAAAUCCCAGAGCUCAACUCUGGAACUGCCUUUGAUACUGGGUGUCUUGAGUAUGGAAGAGGUAAGUGGAAUUCCGAGUGUAGAGGUGAAAUUCGUAGAUAUUCGGAGGAACACCGGUGGCGAAGGCGGCCAACUGGUCCAUUACUGACGCUGAGGUGCGAAAGCGUGGGGAGCAAACAGGAUUAGAAACCCCAGUAGUCC